rnacentral:tRNA from 1 species
GUGAGAUGGCUCAGUGGUUAAUAGCACUGGCUGUUCUUCCAGAGGACCUGGGUUCAAUCCCCAGCACUCACA